UGAUCCUGGCUCAGAACGAACGCUGGCGGCAUGCCUAACACACGCAAGUCGAACGAGAUCUUCGGAUCUAGUGGCGCACGGGUGCGUAACGCGUGGGAAUCUGCCCUUGGGUACGGAAUAACUCAGAGAAAUUUGUGCUAAUACCGUAUAAUGUCUUCGGACCAAAGAUUUAUCGCCCAAGGAUGAGCCCGCGUAGGAUUAGCUAGUUGGUGAGGUAAAAGCUCACCAAGGCGACGAUCCUUAGCUGGUCUGAGAGGAUGAUCAGCCACACUGGGACUGAGACACGGCCCAGACUCCUACGGGAGGCAGCAGUGGGGAAUAUUGGACAAUGGGCGAAAGCCUGAUCCAGCAUGCCGCGUGAGUGAUGAAGGCCCUAGGGUUGUAAAGCUCUUUUACCCGGGAUGAUAAUGACAGUACCGGGAGAAUAAGCUCCGGCUAACUUCGUGCCAGCAGCCGCGGUAAUACGAGGGGAGCUAGCGUUGUUCGGAAUUACUGGGCGUAAAGCGCGCGUAGGCGGUUUUUUAAAGUCAGAGGUGAAAGCCCGGGGCUCAACCCCGGAAUUGCCUUUGAAACUGGGAAAACUAGAAUCUUGGAG
rnacentral:rRNA from 1 species